rnacentral:rRNA from 1 species
UGGGGAAUAUUGGACAAUGGGCGCAAGCCUGAUCCAGCCAUGCCGCGUGAGUGAUGAAGGCCCUAGGGUUGUAAAGCUCUUUCACCGGUGAAGAUAAUGACGGUAACCGGAGAAGAAGCCCCGGCUAACUUCGUGCAAGCAGCCGCGGUAAUACGAAGGGGGCUAGCGUUGUUCGGAUUUACUGGGCGUAAAGCGCACGUAGGCGGACUUUUAAGUCAGGGGUGAAAUCCCGGGGCUCAACCCCGGAACUGCCUUUGAUACUGGAAGUCUUGAGUAUGGUAGAGGUGAGUGGAAUUCCGCGUGUAGAGGUGAAAUUCGUAGAUAUUCGGGGGAACACCAGUGGCGAAGGCGGCUCACUGGACCAUUACUGACGCUGAGGUGCGAAAGCGUGGGGAGCAAACAGG